rnacentral:lncRNA from 1 species
UUUUAACACCUCCACGCGCAACAAAAAGCAAGACUACAAGAUAUCAAGAUUCCGGUUCAUGGUUCUGACCUACCUUUUGAACCACGACUAAGCUAUCGUCUGAACCACGAGCCACAAUGGCACAAAACGGAAAGGUGGUUGGCUGAACCGUUGCGGCCAAAUGCAUACCUUCACCAAUAUUGGCAACACCACCCCAAGACAUAAAAUUUGCAUCAAGAAACUGCACCACCACCUCAGCACACAAAGUAUCCUUGCAAAAAGGUGGUGUAAACGGGUGGUCGGGUGAGUGCAAGUACAAGAACACAAACUUGUGCUCAUCUUGAGCCAUCUUUAAAACCUCAACAAACCUACACGCGUAGAAAAAUGGAUGUGUGACACCGAAUUGUUGCUCAAAACCGGCUAGAAAAUCCCAAUUGGAUUGAAAAUUGUUGGUGGGCUGAUAUGGUGGAGGAGGGUGGUGGUGGUGGAGGGGAACACUUGGUGGCGGAAACUGGUGGUGGUUUCUCCGUCCUCCUGCGGCGGUCAUGAGGUCUAGUCCUUGAUCCACAACCCUCGAAAUGGCUCGUGGGAGGUUAACCACUCUGCGCACUAGUCUAGUGCACGAGGUUUCCAACAUGUCAAGUGGACUAGACAUUUUGGCUCGAGCCAUGGUGUCUGGAUUGGCUAGAACCAUAUGUAGUGGUCCAUUGAGUGAUUGAAACAAAAAUCAAUCAAGAAACUUGGAAUCCAAUGUGUGGAUAUUAUCAAUUAUGAUUGUUCUUUUUGGGACAUUUAAAACUGGUUCCUUGUUGUAGAGUCUGAUAUGUGGAUAUGAUCAAUUAUGAUUGUUUUUUGGGGGACAUUUAAAAAAUGGUUCCUUGGUGCAAGAAUAUGAUUUUUUGUUUGAAUGGACAAGGGAUGGGAAUU